CUCCUGGAAAGAAGAGGAACGGUUCUAUACGACAUAUGAACUACUCUACUCUUGACCGAAAGUAGUAAUAGGUGCCCAGCCAGAAGAGCAGGGUGCAGGAAGGAAGUAUAAAGGUGCUAUACGAAAUUGUAGAGAAGCAAAUGCCAACAGAGCCAAUGAACCAUUGACGCAGAGAGAUUGAAAUACGUUCAUGCAGUAAUUCUUGUUGCUGAUUCUUCAUCUAAUUAUGCAAUUAUUUUUGCUCUAGCUGAUUCGUCAUUUAAUUAUUGGGUUCCGUGCCUUAUCAAGUAUUAACUUUAUGUAUGUUAGGGAGAUUACUCUGGUAAAUUAAAGUAUCAUUGUCCAUAAAUGAAAAUAAAUAGUAAUGUCAAGAUCAAUCUCACGAGCUGUAACUGGAACAACCCCACCAACACAUAAGAAGUGACCCUUUUCAACUCUUUUGUCUUUGUCAAAACUCUGUAGCACAUCAUAGCAUAGUAAACAUCCUUUACGUAUGCCAUUCCGUCUCUGUUAAGGUUUGUUCAUUUGAUAGGACAUAUCCCUGAUGAGUGAAGUGAAUGUAUAUUUGUCGUGUCCAUUAAAG
rnacentral:sRNA from 1 species